rnacentral:rRNA from 1 species
CACGUAGGGCGCAAGCGUUGUCCGGAAUUAUUGGGCGUAAAGAGCUCGUAGGUGGUUUGUUACGUCUUCUGUGAAAACCUAGGGCUUAACCCUGGGCUUGCAGUGGAUACGGGCAGACUAGAGGUAGGUAGGGGAGAAUGGAAUUCCUGGUGUAGCGGUGAAAUGCGCAGAUAUCAGGAGGAACACCGGUGGCGAAGGCGGUUCUCUGGGCCUUACCUGACACUGAGGAGCGAAAGCGUGGGGAGCGAGCAGG